UUACAGUUUGCGCUCUCACUUUCGUCUUUCUAUUAAGUUUUACGGCUAUAAAAAUUACAAAAUGUAUAUUAAUAGUUUGGAAAAUUUGUCAAAAAUUAUAGUGUACUUAUGUAUGUGAACAGAAAAGUAUAGUUAGUUAUAAAUUAUCACGUAGGAAAACAUUCCUAUAAACAUUCCGAAUAAACAUGAGCACAAAUUUAUGUACAGCAGGGAGAUAAAAUCUUUUUUAUCACAAUUUGUACACUGUGUAAAAAAAUCUAAGCAAUAAAAGAGGUUGCUGUUGGCAUGCGUUGCUACGCCUCAAUGAACAAAGUGAAAAUAACCAAUUGGAAAUAUAGCGGAUAAAUUUGGCCUUUCCAUUUGGGGCUUAGAUGAAGAAUUUACUCGGAGCACUAAGUCCAGGAUAAGCUGUAAAUAGUCAGCCACAUGGAAGCAAAGAUUUUUUAAGUUCAGUCCAGCCUCAUUGAAAGAUUGUUUUUGGGCUCUAUUUUUCAGCGGUAGGUUUGUUUUAAUUAGUACGUGGAAUCAACUCAUUUUCUCCCUUCCAAAGAGUUCAAAAUACAUAACUAUGUUAAAUAUGAAAAAUGAUAAUUAAGUGAUUCCUUG